UGACUUCACCAGGAGGUUCUCCCUAAAUAGGUACUCUUCGGGCUCCGGAGCAGUAGUUCCCGGAUCCCACAAAAUCCUGGGAGAAGGCGGAGGGCGAGCUGCUAGGGCACUAAUGCAGAGCCAUGGUCAGAGGUAGGACUGGGGUCCACGAUGCCUCCUUUCUUUGCUGCGAUGGUAGAGAGCAAACGGUGGAAGCUUCUCUUAAGAUUCGUUCCUGUGGGCUUCGAUAAGAAGGACAGCCUCCGAGACCAACGCAAGGUAAUGAAUGCAUCCUGAGCGCUUAGUCAGGAUAUGCCGCCGUGUCCCCGCAAACAACAACUACUGAAACAAAAAACAAAACAAAAC
rnacentral:lncRNA from 1 species